UACAGAGGUCUCAAGCGUUUGUUCGGAUUCAUUGGGCGUAAAGGGUGUGUAGGCGGCGCGCUAAGUCGGGUGUGAAAUUUCGGAGCUUAACUCCGAAACUGCAUUCGAUACUGCCGUGCUUGAGGACUGGAGAGGAGACUGGAAUUUACGGUGUAGCGGUGAAAUGCGUAGAUAUCGUAAGGAAGACCAGUGGCGAAGGCGGGUCUCUGGACAGUUCCUGACGCUGAGGCACGAAGGUCAGGGGAGCAAACGGGG
rnacentral:rRNA from 1 species